rnacentral:rRNA from 1 species
CCUACGGGCGGCAGCAGUGAGGAAUAUUGGUCAAUGGACGAGAGUCUGAACCAGCCAAGUAGCGUGAAGGAUGACUGCCCUAUGGGUUGUAAACUUCUUUUAUAUGGGAAUAAACUGUUCCACGUGUGGGAUUUUGUAUGUACCAUAUGAAUAAGGAUCGGCUAACUCCGUGCCAGCAGCCGCGGUAAUACGGAGGAUCCGAGCGUUAUCCGGAUUUAUUGGGUUUAAAGGGAGCGUAGGUGGAGUGUUAAGUCAGUUGUGAAAGUUUGCGGCUCAACCGUAAAAUUGCAGUUGAAACUGGCAGUCUUGAGUGCAGUAGAGGUGGGCGGAAUUCGUGGUGUAGCGGUGAAAUGCUUAGAUAUCACGAAGAACUCCGAUUGCGAAGGCAGUUCACUGGACUGCAACUGACACUGAGGCUCGAAAGUGUGGGUAUCAAACAGGAUUAGAUACCCCUGUAGUC